UUUUAUGGGAUUAUUUAUUAGUUUAAUGGUUCUGCCUAUCUACUUACUAUGUCGUACUAUAUGUGUCCAGUAAGUGGCAGUAAUGCACCAAAUAUAGGCGUGCCGACUGCCAAAAUCCAACAGAAAAGAAGAAGAACAAGAAAGGUGGAGGGUACUGUCUGCUGAGGGAAACCAUGGACCAUGUUCUUUUUUGUUGCAAUAAAUAUGCUGUCCAAAGGAAAAUUUUGUUUUCUUCUCUUAAACACAAGGGUCACAAAGAAUUUUCUUGGACAGGAUUGCUUUCUUAUGGGAAGAAGAAGAAGAAGAAGAAGAAGAAGGCUGGAGGGAAACUAUUGUUUGCUGCCUUUUCCCCCCUUUCAAUUGACCCAUUUAUUGAGAUAUCUCAGGAUUUCUUGCUCAAUAAGGGGAUUUGUGUUUCUGGUGUAUCAUGGACUCAAAGAAGAGCUUUCCCUGUGGAUUCUGUUAUCAUUCCUGGAAAUAACUGGGUGGACUAAAGUAUUUUGAAGAUGCAAGCAAAGGACUAUUGGUGAGCUCCAUCCAUGUUAAAGCUUUAUACCUGGAAACAUUCUGCAAGGACUGUGCUUAUUGAACUCUAUUGGAAAUUCUAAUGGGUCUGUAAAUGUGCUUUGUUGUUGUUGUUGCUGCUGCUGUUUUUUUUUCUUUUUCUUUAUGUCCUUACUGAUACAAUUUGUAAAUAUAUCAUUCACCGGGUGCGCUGUGCACGCGGCUACAGUAAAACAGUUCAGACGCGCACACCAGUUUUCACCAGUUUUCGGUGUAGAUUAUGGAAUGCGGAGCGGAGAGGGGGUUUAAUCUCUUACUGGCAGUUGGCAGCAGGAAGGAGCAGCAGUCAGUGGCAGCAGUCGAUCACUACUGGUUGUAGGAUUGAGCUGCCAAUGGCAGCCGCCUAUUCUGAGUGUCUAAAAAUGGCAGCAGGAAGGAGCGGUCAGUGGCGGCCUUCAAUCACUAUAGAGGUAGGUUUAAGCCACAGGCAGCUGCCAGUUGAGUCGCGGCUGAAAAUGACGGUAGCAGCCUUGAGGCUGAACGUUUCAAUUAACAGCUGACAGCAGGAGGCGCCCGUCUCUCCGUAAUAUUUGGGCGUAGCUGUGCAGUGGCGCUGCGAAGGUAGGAGGGUGUAUUCAUGAACGCAAAACUCGGCGGACGAAUCACAGCUGCUGCCACAACGCCGCGCGCGUAGUUACAUUUCUAGUGAAGUGCACGUUAAGCAAGGGUCGUACAGACGUAGAUUAUACGCAGAAGCGUAAAUUGCCCUUUUGUUUUGGUACCGUCCAGGGGCCUCAUUUAUAAAGAGUGCGUACGCAUAAAAAGAGGGCAGAAAUGUGCGUAAGCAACAUCUCACGCAAGAAUUGUGAUUUAUAAAGAAAUACUUGGCGUGAAAACAAGCGUACAUUUAAGCAAGGUUUGAGGCAUGCGUAUGCCUUCAAAAGUGUGCGGAGAGAGCGGGAAUUAGUGGCAUCAUGUGGUAAAGUAGGGAAUUGUAAGUAAAUGCGCAAGUUUUUCUUCCUUCCGCAUCUUAGAUACCACAUAAAUCAAAAUUAACAAAGGAAGAUAUUUUUUUUCUGCAUGUAUAGUUAAAAUUAUUUCUGUAUCUUAUUCUGUAUUAUAUGUAUAUGUAGUGUUAAUUUUCCACUAACUUGUAUAUUUCACUUUGAAUAUAUAUAUAUAUAUAUAUGUAAAUAUUAUUAUUAUUAUUGCAACAAAUUAUACUCUAUAAUAAAGAGAGAGGAAAGUGUUAAGGGCUGGUAAUAGUUGCAGAUAAUUACGAUCAUAAACAGCUGUACCUAAUUGCAUAAAAUAACAGCUCUAGAAAUAGGCAGAAAAUAGUGAGGCGCUGUCUGUUAUAAUGGCGUUUUUGGCAUUACUUGAGUAAUUAAUUAAGUAAUUUGGCAUUACUUGAUUACAGUUGCAGUCAAUUUUUUUCUGUGCAAAGCAAUUUGCUUCUUUGCGUCGACUUUUAAAUCUGACCACUUUUUCUUUACCUCUGCAAUAGUUCGGCUUGUGGAGCUCACAUUGUUUACUGCUGCAGCCACAUGCUGCCACUCAACAAACUUGCGUUUGUUGGUAAUGCCACUACUAAGGCCACCAAACAACACAUCCUUCCUUGCCUCAACCUCUGAAACAAGGACUUCCUCUUCACAAUCUCCAAAAUUUCGCUUCUUUGCUUUGCGUUCCUCCAUCAUCCCGAUCAGAAUGAAUGGGGAAUCACUCAUUUAAAUAUUUAUUGGGUGAUUUGCAUGGACUUUUCAUGGGUAAAUGUGGGUGGUACGGAGGCGGAGCGCGAGGCUUGGUAAGCUGCGCACAUUUAUAAGCAGAUUGUGAUUUAUAAAGAGGAAACUGCGUUCAGGUGUGUGUACGCACACUUUUUUAAAUCUGAUUUUUUUUGGACGUACGCCAUUUCCUGUUUUUUUGUGCGUACGCACACUCUCACUUCAGAACCUACGCAGAGUUUUAUAAAUGAGGCCCCAGGUGUUUACAAUGUGAGUAUCUUUUAUGAAAAUGACAUAUGAAAUGCAGCCGACCUUACAGUACAAACUAAUAUUAGUAAUAUUGAUAGAUUUAGGUUGGUGUUGCUAGAAAGCUUAAUAACACUGAUUAUGUCGCCAUGCAUCCAAUUUAAUACCACCUUUUUAAUUAGCUGACUCAGCCGAUCUCUGAUAGCUAGCUAAAUAGCUAGCAUCACGACCUUGCAACUAAAGUAACGUUAUAUUUGUUUAACACUAAACCCAGUUCAUGAGUAUUUAUUAUAUUGCAUGUUUUAAGAAAACACUAAAAUGAAGAGGACCGGACAGCACUCGUAUAAUGUCCAGUAUAUUUGACUCACAGAUAAAACACGAACGUUUCGGCACUUAGACCUUGAAGGUCUAAGUGCUGUCCGAUCCUCUUAAUUUUUGCGGAUUGUUUUUUGCUGAUUUAGCACGUGAGAAGUAUUUGGGAGGGCAGCCUGUUUUUUUUUUUACUUUUUUAAAUAAAAACACUAAUUAUGAAAUUCAUGGGGAAACAUAAUGGUGAUGUUUAGUCAGUGUUUUAUAUGUCUAAAAAAAAUAGAAUGAUCUUUUUUUUUGCUGUAAAUGCAGUAGAACAAAUUUUCGAACAAUUUUCUGAUUUUCUUGUUACUUGUUUUCUACUUAAUGCUGUGUUAUGUACAUAUUUUACUAGAAUGCAGAGUCUGCUAAGAAUUAAAAAAACAAAAGCAAAAAAAUUUAAUUUCUCUGACCUCAUGGUAAAAUAGUGACUCCUCUGGACUUAAAAUGUAUAAACUGGAAAUCUUUCAUUAGAUACUCACACUGGCCAUUCAUUUACUUUACUAUCUAUCUGUCUGUCUGUCUGUCUGUCUGUCUGUCU